GUAUGGGAUCGGCUCGUCGAUUCCGUCGGCAUUAACAUCCGAUUUCGUAAACCGAAAUCGGUCCCGAUGUCAGCCGAUCAUGUCGGUGUCUUUUAAAUAGGUCGAUUUCGGCUUCGACGUCUGCCGAUAACGUCGGUAUGUCAAUUUUUUGGUGCAAAAGUGAAAAUAUCAGGUAAGUUUUUCUAUUUUUUCAUAAAAUAAUUAAUUUAGAUGCAGAAUUAGUGAUAAAUGUAAAGAAAAGUUUAGUUUUAGAUGCUAUAUUAUGUUCAGAACAUGGGAGAUUCUGAAAAUCCGGCCAAUAAAUGAUGCAAAUCUGCAAUUUAAUAUUUGGCUUCUUGGCGUCAGUGUUUUUCAGCUCCAAAUCACAUUUUACUCUCAUUAAAAUUAGGUAAAUUUUAUUGAAUUUUUCUUGGCAGGAUCUUGAUCCUUGCCGUGUGUGAUGAUUUUAGAUUUAUGGUGGAAACCUCGUGCUGCGGAAUCAUCGACCAGCACUGAGUGUUCUGGGCAGGAGGGAUUACCCAUGUGGUGAGGAAGUUGGUCUGGUGAUCAUUGGUUCCGGCUCCGGAGGCUGGCUGCUAUUAAAGCUGCCCAGUUGGGGAUUAAGACCGUGUGCAUUGAGAAGAACGACACAUGUGGUGACACCUGCCUCAAUGUGUGAUAUAUCCCAUCGAAACCUCUCCUCAAUAAUACCCAUGGACAUUGCGCAGCUCUUCAAGAAGAGGUGCAUCUCAUUAAGGGCUACGGGAGUAUCACGUCAGCCAAGGAAGUCACCGCCAAGACGGAAUCUGGCUAAGAGAUGAUUGCAACGGGAGCAGCAGAAGUCACCCCAUUUCCCCGACGGAUGGGUCGAAAGGUCAUAAAACGAAGGCUUGAAAAAUGCCUCUACCAGAUAUAUCCAUAUCAACGUACACGCGACUGUGACUUUUACAAAUCCACGUGGGAAGCUAGCUGCCCCUCAGAGGGAUACCAUCGAGGGAAACAUCCACAACUCUGCGUGGGAGUCUAGCUGCCCCUUAGGGGAAUACCGUCGGAGGCACCAGAGGCACUCGCAAUUCUUCAGUAUUAAUAAAAACGACGUUCUUCAAGCUUCCAUCGUAGAAGAUCUUCGUGUUACAGCAUGCAUCAUGGGAUUCACAUGCAGAUAAGCCCAAAAUUAAUUUACCGACAGGUUUAGUAACAGAUAUUUCCAAAUUAGGUUAGAAAGAUCAAUUCUAAGUCAAAAAUAUUAAACAUUUUUCGUAAGAAUUUCUUAAACUCUUAUUUUUACUGAAUCCAUUAAACUUAAAGAAAAAUUUUAAAGCAUUCGAUAUAAAACAUGUAAAUUUGUAGUUUUUGUAAUUAAAUUCUCUUAUAAUUUUGAAAAUAUUUUUAGAUAUUCAAAGAGAAUAUCUUUACUAGUUGUCAGAACUAUUAUUGUAUAAUUUUUCGAACUUAUCGUUCUCUAGAUAUGAAUAUAACUCCCGGAAAAUCUUAUUUAGACUUCCUACGUACCCUUUUUGCAAAAUAUUCUUUUUUUUUAAGAUAACAAAGAAUCUUUUUAGGAAAACUCGUGAAAAAUCAUCAUUUUUUGCUUCAAGUUGCGUAAAAAUGUUGAUUUUUUAUUUAUAAGUGAUGAUGAUGAUUUAUAAAAAUAUAUUAAAAACAAAAAAAUAUAACUUAAUAGAAAAAUAUUUCAAAAGAAAAAAAUACAGAGAAAAAAAAAUAAAAUUAAAAAUUAGCAAUAGGAAUUAUUUCUAAUUUUCUUAAUGAAAUUCAACUGCAGGCGAAAAAUAUGUAAUUUUUAUAAAUUUUAUGUAAAAUUGUUAUUUUUUUUAUAUUAUAUUAAAUAAAACUGAAAAAAUAAAGAAAA